rnacentral:misc_RNA from 1 species
CUUUUUUUUUUUUUUUCCUUUCCUUCUCCUCCUUCUUCUCUUUCUUCCUGGUUAGGUUCUUCAGUUCUUCCUACCCUGUUAUGCUGUCAGUGUACAGCAGUCUGCCUCUCUUUUUUUUUCCUUUCCUUCUCCUUCUCUGUGCUUCGUUCUUUUUUUUUCCUUUCCUUCUCCUUCUCUGUGCUUCGUUCUUUUUUUUUCCUUUCCUUCUCCUUCUCUGUGCUUCGU